CGAAGGGGGCUAGCGUUGUUCGGAAUUACUGGGCGUAAAGCGCGCGUAGGCGGUGAUCUUUGUCAGAGGUGAAAGCCUGGGGCUCAACUCCAGAAUUGCCUUUGAAACGGGAUUGCUAGAGUCCGAGAGAGGAUGGCGGAAUUCCUAGUGUAGAGGUGAAAUUCGUAGAUAUUAGGAAGAACACCGGUGGCGAAGGCGGCCAUCUGGCUCGGUACUGACGCUCAGGCGCGAAAGCGUGGGGAGUAAACAGGAUUAGAUACCCUGGUAGUCCACGCUGUAAACGAUGAGUGCUAGUUGUUAGGGAGUUUACUCCUUAGUGACGCAGCUAACGCGUUAAGCACUCCGCCUGGGGAGUACGGUCGCAAGAUUA
rnacentral:rRNA from 1 species